AUGCAGUCGAGCGGACAGAUGGGAGCUUGCUCCCUGAUGUUAGCGGCGGACGGGUGAGUAACACGUGGGUAACCUGCCUGUAAGACUGGGAUAACUCCGGGAAACCGGGGCUAAUACCGGAUGCUUGUUUGAACCGCAUGGUUCAAACAUAAAAGGUGGCUUCGGCUACCACUUACAGAUGGACCCGCGGCGCAUUAGCUAGUUGGUGAGGUAAUGGCUCACCAAGGCSACGAUGCGUAGCCGACCUGAGAGGGUGAUCGGCCACACUGGGACUGAGACACGGCCCAGACUCCUACGGGAGGCAGCAGUAGGGAAUCUUCCGCAAUGGACGAAAGUCUGACGGAGCAACGCCGCGUGAGUGAUGAAGGUUUUCGGAUCGUAAAGCUCUGUUGUUAGGGAAGAACAAGUACCGUUCGAAUAGGGCGGUACCUUGACGGUACCUAACCAGAAAGCCACGGCUAACUACGUGCCAGCAGCCGCGGUAAUACGUAGGUGGCAAGCGUUGUCCGGAAUUAUUGGGCGUAAAGGGCUCGCAGGCGGUUUCUUAAGUCUGAUGUGAAAGCCCCCGGCUCAACCGGGGGAGGGUCAUUGGAAACUGGGGAACUUGAGUGCAGAAGAGGAGAGUGAAUUCCACGUGAAGCGGUGAAAUGCGUAGAGAUGUGGAGGAACACCAGUGGCGAAGGCGACUCUCUGGUCUGUAACUGACGCUGAGGAGCGAAAGCGGUGGGGGAGCGAACAGGAUUAGAUACCCUGAUAGUCUU
rnacentral:rRNA from 1 species